rnacentral:rRNA from 1 species
UACGUAGGGUGCGAGCGUUAAUCGGAAUUACUGGGCGUAAAGCGUGCGUAGGCGGCGCGCUAAGACAGGUGUGAAAGCCCCGGGCUUAACCUGGGAAUUGCAUUGAGGACUGGCGUGCUCGAGUGCGGCAGAGGGGGGUGGAAUUCCACGUGUAGCAGUGAAAUGCGUAGAGAUGUGGAGGAACACCGAUGGCGAAGGCAGCCCCCUGGGCCGACACUGACGCUCAUGCACGAAAGCGUGGGGAGCAAACAGG